GACGAACGCUGGCGGCGUGCUUAACACAUGCAAGUCGAGCGGUAAGGCCCUUUCGGGGGUACACGAGCGGCGAACGGGUGAGUAACACGUGGGUGACCUGCCCUUAGCUCUGGGAUAAGCCUGGGAAACUGGGUCUAAUACCGGAUAUGACUCCAUGACGCAUGUUGUGGGGUGGAAAGCCUUGUGCGGCUAGGGAUGGGCCCGCGGCCUAUCAGCUUGUUGGUGGGGUGAUGGCCUACCAAGGCGACGACGGGUAGCCGGCCUGAGAGGCGACCGGCCACACUGGGACUGAGACACGGCCCAGACUCCUACGGGAGGCAGCAGUGGGGAAUCUUGCGCAAUGGGCGAAAGCCUGACGCAGCGACGCCGCGUGAGGGAUGACGGCCUCGGUUGUAAC
rnacentral:rRNA from 1 species